UCUGACUCUCCUGUCCACCUCUUUUCAAAUUCUCAGAGAAUCUGCAGAAUACUCUCUUGCUGUUUUAGAUGGGCUUGAGGCAAGUGUGGGAAACUUGCUCUGAAUCCUCUGUUGCAGAAGACAACACUGAAGUGCAGAAGGAUAACAGGGAAGAGAUUUUACAGGCUUGUGGUGAAUAAGCUCAAGAACCCAGAGAGAGCCUUGCAGUGAGCCCAGGUUCUUUUCCUUUGGACCACUCCAUUAUCCCCUUCACUGGCAGAUGGACUUUGCAACCCCAGGGACUAGAAAUUGAGCCCAUCACUAUUAACAUGACAGAAAUCAUCUGGAGGCUGGAGAGAAACGCCCCCGUGGGUCCUCCAAACAUUUGAAGAUUCUCCAGCUUUCCUCGUAUGUUAAUUAGUCUGCCCUCAUUAAACCUAACUUUGUACUUGCUAGAAAGAGGGGAUAAUCAUUAUGACUAUUUCUGUAAAAGAGAGUAAGUGAGGUAAUUAGUUCAAUAAAUGUUAAUUAAGUGCUAACCAUAUGCACUACUGGGAAGGUGCUGGAUACAGAACAUCAGAAGAGAGUCCCCGUUCAGAAGCAGUUCACAAAAAUCUCUCAACUGUUUAAAUCCCAAUAACAAGUUAACACUCCUUAUAAAAUGUCACAUUUAGAUCUCCCAAGGUUUCUUUUUUACCUUUUUAGGUCCUACAAGCUUCAAGUGCCUGAAGUUUCUCAUGUUUGCCUUCUCUCCUCGGUGGGAUUGACAGGUAUAUCUGCUAGAUGGGUCUCUGGCUAUCCUGAAUAAACGGUGUUCAUGGUGUAAAUUAAGCACUUGACAAUCACAUUCAUCUUCUUGAAGUUUUGUUUGUUUAUUUUUGAGAGAGAGAGAGCAUGCGCGCGUGCUAGUGAGGAAAUGAGAGAGAGAGAGAGAGAGAGAGAGAGAGAGAGAGAGAGAGAAACAAACAGAGAAUCCCAAGUAGGGGCCACACUGUCAGCACAGAGCCCAGUGCAGGGCUCAAACUCACAAACCAUGAGAUCGUGACCUGAGCCAAAAUCAAGAGUCGGAUGCUUAACUGACUGAGCCACCCAGGUACCCCACGUUCAUCUUUUUAAAUGCAAUGUUUAUUUAGCAAAUUCCUGCUAUAUGGGAAGUGUUC